AGGCUCCUACGGGGGGCAGCAGUGGGGAAUAUUGGGCAAUGGAGGAAACUCUUACCCAGCAAUGCCGCGUGAGUGAAGAAGGUCUUCGGAUUGUAAAGCUCUUUGAUUGGGGAUGAAAAAAUGACGGUACCCAAGGAACAAGCCCCGGCUAACUACGUGCCAGCAGCCGCGGUAAUACGUAGGGGGCAAGCGUUGUCCGGAAUUAUUGGGCGUAAAGAGCGCGCAGGUGGUUAAUUAAGUCUGAUGUGAAAGCCCACGGCUUAACCGUGGAGG
rnacentral:rRNA from 1 species